CCAAUGCCUAUGAUGCAGCGAAGAGGUCCCCCACCUCGUUGGCGCUCGCCUCCAAGGAUGCGUCGUCGUUCACCACCACCUAUGCGUCGACGUUCACCCAUGCCACGUAGGAGGUCCCGAUCUCGUACACCACCAAGACGCCGUAGAUAUUCUAGAUCAUCAUCAUCAUCAUCCCGUUAAUGACUUGCUGUAUCACACUGGUGACCUUGACAUUCAUACUGUCUCAUAUUUCUCUGUUAUAGUUUGUUGUCUGCCAACAUCAAGAAAAAUAACUUAUUUUAUUUCCAGGAGAGUAAUAACCAAGAAUUGUGUUUACAUGAAAGUCAAUAAUUGAAAAUUGUACUAAAGUCUUAAUGUGCUUGCUGUAAUAUGGUUAAUUGAAUUCAGGACACUUUGUUCAAGUUCAUUAAAAGGAAACUUUUAAUUUUACCACGGUGGAUUCAGAUGUGUUUCACAUCACAAAGUAGGAUUUAAUUUUCAGUGUAGACCAAAUUUGUAGUCAGCAGAUAGCUUUCUCUUUCAUUUGAUCUAAAUGAAGAAAAUAUUGUACAUCAAAACUGCAAUUUGUAUUAUGUAUUUCAUUGUAGUGAUUUACAAGAAAAUAAAGAAAAAUACUUG